rnacentral:piRNA from 5 species
GGUCUAGUGGUUAGGAUUCGGCGCU